rnacentral:hammerhead_ribozyme from 1 species
AUCCAGCUGAAGAGUCCCAAAUAGAACGAAACACGCGUCAAACUGGAU